GCUUCCUCGCGUGUCGGCACUGGUUGAGAUGCUUGUGGGAUUCCCGCAGUUGAUUUGCUAGGUAUGUCUCUAUUCUAGACGCUGCUCGUCUCUGAUUUUCGUCUUCCUUUUCUUGCAGAUUCGUCCAUUUUCACCGGUGCCUCCUUCGAUUUGCCCCUCUCGCUUGUCCAUUCAUGGAUUUAUAGGUGUGUGGAAGUACAAGUACGCUAUGGCUAACUUGUUCCCUCUUUUAUUGUUGUUGUCGUGUCCUAUAUCAGGUGUUCUCCGGCUGAAAUUAGGCUGCUCCUGCCAUGUCUAUCAUUGAAAUGCCUCCUUCCAUGAUAAAGCAGCCUACUCUUAGGUACAAAUCUGGGUGUAGAUUCUGCCUCACCUUUCUAGCCGGCAGUGGUUCGGUUUGCUGCAGGUUCUCUCAGUGUUCAGGGCAGGGCAGACAACAUGUGUCGUCAACCGUCGACAAUUCAGCUGUCUCCAAAUGAGCAGCUUGCUAAUGAAGAAACCUUCAAGUUGCACUGCAAGCCAGUUGAGCUCUGCAUUGUUAUCCGAAAACGAGCCAUU